UCAGGUGGUUAUAGCACGAGGGUUCCACCUCUUCCCAUUCCGAACAGAGAAGUUAAGCCUCGUCACGCCGAUGGUACUGCGUAACAGUGGGAGAGUAGGUAGCCGCCGUU
rnacentral:rRNA from 2 species